rnacentral:rRNA from 1 species
AAUCAACGCUGGCGGCGUGCCUCAGACAUGCAAGUCGAACGAUUAAAGCUCUCUUCGGAGAGUGCAUAAAGUGGCGCACGGGUGAGUAACACGUAAGUAAUCUACCUUCGAGUGGGGAAUAACGUCCGGAAACGGACGCUAAUACCGCAUAAUGCAGCGGCACCUAAUGGUGACAGUUGUUAAAGGAGCAAUCCGCUUGAAGAGGAGCUUGCGGCAGAUUAGGUAGUUGGUAAGGUAAUGGCUUACCAAGCCUGCGAUCUGUAACCGGUCUUAGAGGACGGUCGGUCACACUGACACUGAAUAACGGGUCAGACUCCUACGGGAGACAGCAGUCGGGAAUUUUGGGCAAUGGGCGAAAGCCUGACCCAGCAACGCCGCGUGAAGGAUGAAGUAUUUCGGUAUGUAAACUUCGAAAGAAUGGGAAGAAUCAAUGACGGUACCAUUUAUAAGGUCCGGCUAACUACGUGCCAGCAGCCGCGGUAAAAC